rnacentral:rRNA from 1 species
UACAGAGGUCCCAAGCGUUGUUCGGAUUCAUUGGGCGUAAAGGGUGCGUAGGCGGCGGGGUAAGUCAGGUGUGAAAUCCCGGAGCUUAACUCCGGAACUGCACUUGAUACUGCCUUGCUCGAGUACUGGAGAGGAGACUGGAAUUUACGGUGUAGCAGUGAAAUGCGUAGAUAUCGGGAGGAACACCAGUGGCGAAGGCGACUUCCUGGCCUGUUCUUGACGCUGAGGCGCGAAAGCUAGGGGAGCAAACGGG